GCGGAGGAAAAGAAACCAACAGGGAUUACCUUAGUAACGGCGAGUGAAGCGGUAAAAGCUCAAAUUUGAAAGCUAGCACCUUUGGUGUUCGCGUUGUAAUUUGAAGAAGGUAUCUUUGGAGUUGGCCCUUGUCUAUGUUCCUUGGAACAGGACGUCAUAGAGGGUGAGAAUCCCGUCUGAUGGGGUGUCCAACUCUUUGUAAAGAGCUUUCGAAGAGUCGAGUUGUUUGGGAAUGCAGCUCUAAGUGGGUGGUAAAUUCCAUCUAAAGCUAAAUAUUGGCGAGAGACCGAUAGCGAACAAGUACAGUGAUGGAAAGAUGAAAAGAACUUUGAAAAGAGAGUGAAAAAGUACGUGAAAUUGUUGAAAGGGAAGGGCAUUAGAUCAGACUUGGUGUUUUGUGAUUAUCUUCCUCUUGUAGGUUGUGCACUCGCAUUUCACUGGGCCAGCAUCGAUUCGGAUGGUAAGAUAAUGACAUUGGAACGUAGCUACCUUCGGGUAGUGUUAUAGACUUUGUUGAUGUUACCUAUCUGGAUCGAGGACUGCGUCUUUUGACUAGGAUGCUGGCGUAAUGAUCUAAUGCCGCCCG
rnacentral:rRNA from 1 species